CGCGAGCUCCCCGGAAAGCCACUUGGACUGGCGUCAGAGUGAAUGACGGGAGCUGCUCGGAGCAGGAGAAACUAAACCUGGACUCGACAAAGGCCGAACAAAACAUCGCAGCGGACCGAGAGUUGCUUGUUGCCUUUAUCAAUGCAUACCCUUUGUGCCCGGGGAACGAUGAAGCCAGAGAUCAGCGCCGCGGUCGGGUUUCUGUCGCGAUUUCUGAGGAUUAAAGGACACGUAAACGACCGACAGGUCCAAAGAUUCAGCCAAAGCUUACAGGACAUUUUGGCAGAGCAAUAUAAGCAUCACUGGUUCCCAGACAGACCCUGCAAGGGUUCAGGUUACCGCUGCAUCCGCAUCAACCACAAGAUGGACCCUCUGGUGUGGCAGGCAGGCCAGCGCAUCGGCCUAACCAUCCAGCAACUCUACCUCCUGCUGCCCAAAGAGCUCACGCUCUGGGUGGACCCCUUUGAGGUAUCCUACCGCAUCGGCGAGGAUGGCUCGAUCUGUGUCCUGUACGAGUCAAAGCCCGGGACUGCAGGAGGAACGUCGACGACUGCUAGCAGCAGCCAAACCUCAGGAAACAAUGGGCACACCAGUGCCGCGGUGGACAGUCACUUCAGCUGCAAAGAGGAACUGAUGGUGAUGGGCCAAACCAAUCCCCCCAGCGCCUACACCAUUAUGGCCAUGUCUAGUUAAAGAGACACGCAGUCUAUCAUUCAGGGUCAAACUAUGGCUGGUCAGAUCAUCUGGCCGUGUCACGGUGAGCCUUUUUAAAGCUUAGAAUAUGAAAUUAAAUUGUGGAAACAAAAGAAAUUGGAAACAAAAUAAGCUUUUUUUUUUUUUAACUUAUUUGUAAAAGAUAUAAUGCUGGUAAGCCCCAAAUGAGUGUUUUGAGUAAAUAUCAGACUUUAUUUCAAGGAAUCUUAAUUUGUUUUUACUUCUUUUAAGUUAAAAACAAAUAUCAAGCAAGAAAAUUAACUGAAGAUUUCUUGAAAUUAGCUGAUAAAAUGCACUUUGCAUCUCUUACAAAUAAGCACUUUAAAGCUUCUUCCAUCUCAGAUGUGACUCAGAACAAAGAUUUUCUUCACUUAAGGUUUUUAAGACUUCCUACUCAAAUUUGACUGAAGUGGGUUCAUCUUAAGUCUUAUUAGAUAUUUUUAUUAAAAAUGAGGUGUAUAUACUUGGUGAGGUUUUUUUUGUUUUGUUUUUUUUGCAGUGUGGUGUUAGAAACAUUGUCAUCCGUUCAUGAAGCACUGCUCGUCACCGCUCUGGCGGGAUGCAGCGCGAGGGGCUGUUUCCGUGUGACGCACACAGAUUGUGAUGUGUCGCUGUUUGAGGAGGACUUUGAGAGACUUUGGCCAAAGGGAGGUCUGCAGCACAGACUGUUCACAGAUGAACUUUAAGUUGAAUUCAAACCAACGCUGGGCCUCGUCCCUGACGUUUUUUUGUUGUUGUUGCUGUUUUCCAAGACUUCUCCUUCUGUGUGCAUUGCCUUAAAGAGACCUCAUCUUUAAUUUUGAGCCAUUUGUGAUUUUUGGAAGUGAUCAGGCCCGGCGUGAAGUGCCGCUGGACACUUUUCCAGCCCGGGCGGCGUUAAAUCUCUCCCCUGGUGUGGGGGUUUGUGCCUCACGUUCCGCAUAUCACCCCUCAGCUCAGACCUCCUGCUCAGCCAGAAGUAAGCCAGCACGCUGCUAGCUGACCCCCUCCCUGCAGAUGUAGGAAGACUUGAUGUGACAUAUCAACAUCCAUCACUGUGAGGAGUUGGGUAAGGAAGGCAGGGAUGGGGUGAUGGUGCAAGAGAGUGGGGGGGGGACCAGGGCCAAACUCUCUUGUCCAGGGCAGCUAAAAUCCCUCUAACCCCCCCCCCCCCCAUCUGGACUAACUCCACAUGCCCACCCUGACCAGAAGCCCUCAACCCUCUCUCAGCAGUGAUGGAUACAAACCAGCACACACACACGCCUGGCGUGCUCGAGCUGCACUUGGGGGGUGGUGGAGGGGGAGUUUUGUGAGAGACAAGGAAACAUGGAUCAAACAUGAAGAAUUGAGGGUACGAGACCGUUGUUUUCUUUAUUUAUCUCACUGGAUUUGAGUAAGGACUUUGUUUACAUGCGUGUGAAACGGACUUGAAACACCCCCCCACAUACUUCACUCCCAGUUUGGGGUUACAGCCGGGACAGGUUCUGGAUCGGCUACGGUUUAGCUGCCGGUUGAAUCUGUCACGGUAGGCUGCCUCACCAGACGACACCAGACUUUACGGGUGUUUAAGCUCCCCUAAGCCUGAGAGGAUCAUGGGUGAUAUAUAGGUAAUAGGUAAUGCCUCUGACGCACUGCCCCCCCGCCCCAUGCUGAUACUCCCUUCAGCAGUCUGUGAAAAGCAGUGAAUCCAUGUUGACCAGAUGAAGAAGAGCUCACCAGGAUGCGAGCCCAGAACUUCUGGUUUCAACACCGAGCAUCAGUUUUACAUCGCACUGCUCCGUUUUUUUUUUUUUUUUUUUUUUUUUUUUCCUGGUUAUGUCGUGACUUGAUGUUUUGAGAUUGGCCUGUAUUUCGGACACGAGACUCAUCGUCUCACUUUACAUUUCUCUAGAUGUAUUUCACGGUCACACUGAGUGGUUUUUCCACUUUGACAUGCACAUUUCUACCCCUCGUUCAUCCUCUUGCUGCUAAGAGGAUUUUUGGUCUGGCAAUUUAACCCACGUUUAACAAGCUGUGGUUUUAAACAUAUAAACACACAUACAGAUAUACUUAAAAACAAAACAAACCAAAAUCCACUUCACCAUCAUCAAUCAGAAUGGUUUAAUUAUUUAAAUGGCAUCCAUUCAGCUUGUGCGCACAUAGGUUUCAGAAUUGUACUUCGAGUAGUCUGAAUUUUUUUUUUAAAAAAGCACAUAAAUGCACUAAAUAUGUCGAGUUGAAGUUGACUUUGAGACGCGAGGAGUCUCUCCUGGAAUGUAUUGCCAAACUCAGGCCUCAGACAUUCAAUAAAUACACUUAUGGAAACGUUGUGCAUGUUAAGACAUGAAAAAAGGAAGGGAACAGCAAUUUUUGUCGUCAAAAUAAUUGUCAUCGAUUACUGGAAUUAUUGCCACUUUCACAUUUGAGGUGUUUUUACAUGUUGUAGAAUGUAUUGUAACUGUACGACAAAUGGUAGAGUACAUCACAUUACACAUGGGAAGUGCCAAUAAUUGCUAUUCUGAGGUGUUUUUAAGUGUAUUCCUUUUUGUAUGUCGGCUUUUAACAUGAAUAACUUUUCGUAAGUGAAGCCAUUUGUGAUGGGAGUGUUGGCAAGGACCAAAGUUGUCUUGGUUUAAAAAAAAAAAAAAAAAAAAAAAAGUUUCCAUGAUCUGUAAAUGUAGACGUAUCCUUUUUUUUUUCUUUUUUUUUUUUUACAUACAAAAGAAAGAUGGAAAAAAAAAAAAACUAAUUCUGAGCUUAACCCAAGAAGAAAACCUGUUUAUAUUGUGAUCUCAUGUCUGUACAUCUUUACUGUGUUCACUUUAUUUUCCUUGGGUAUGUUGUGAUGAACUGCUGUAAAUUUGUACAGUUCAUGUAAAUUGAUUGUUGCUGAAGUUGUACAGAUUUCUAUAUUUUGGAAGAAAAAUUUUUCUCUGUAAUAAAAGAUUUCCUAUCUUGGCAUCAUA